rnacentral:lncRNA from 1 species
AAAUAAGUCAACAUGACCGAAAUGGUCAGUUGACCCCUUUAGGAGUUAUUGCCCGUAAUAGUCAAUUUUUAACCAUUUUUCGUAAAUCUUAGUAAUCUUUUACAUCUUCUCCUCUGAAACUACUUGGCCAAAUUACACCAAACUUGGCCAAAAUCAUCAUUGGGGUAUCUUGUUUAAAAAAUGUAUCCGGUGACCCGGCCAACCAUCCAAGAUGGCCGCCAUGGCUAAAAAUAGAACAUAGGGGUAAAAUGCAGUUUUGGGCUUAUAACUCAAAAACCAAAGCAUUUAGAGCAAAUCUGACAAGGGGUAAAAUUGUGUAACAGGUCAAGAUCUAUCUGCCCUGAAAUUUUCAGAUAAAUCGGAUAACCUGUUGUUGGGUUGCUGCCCCUGAAUUAGUAAUUUUAAGGAAAUUUUGCUGUUUUUGGUUAUUAUCUUGAAUAUUGUUAUAGAUAGAGAUAAACUGUAAACAGCAAUAAUGUUCAGCUAAGUAAGAUCUAGAAAUAAGUCAACAUGACCAAAAUCGUCAGUUGACCCCUUAAGGAGUUGUUGCCCAUUUUAUUCAAUUUUUAACAAUUUUCACUAAUUUGGUAAAUUUUUGUAAAUUUUUACAAAAUAUUUUUCACUGUAUCUAAAGGUCCAAGUUUAUUAUAGAUAGAGAAAAUUGUAAGUACCAAGAAUGUUCAGUAAAGUAAGAUCUACAAACACAUCACUAUCAGCAAAACACAAUUUUGUCAUGAAUCCAUCUGUGUCCUUUGUGUAAUAUGCACAUAGACCAAGGUGAGCGACACAGGCUCUUUAGAGCCUCUAGUUAUAUUAAAGCUAUGUGUAGCAAUCUGGUGGUAUGGGUACAACUUGUUUAGCUUUUGUUGUUGUAUUGAACAAAUGUUUAGAUCAAAAUGACACAAUUUAAUUGAUUAUUGUGUACCUUCUCUCUGGAGAAAACCAAAAUUAACUGUUACUGAAGGAUAAAAUAUUUAUGUCUGGUGAAUAAUAAUCAGAGUGCCUAUCACACUGACUCAGAUCCAGAGGUUAACAAGCCAUAUUCAAAAUAUGUUGAAAAUUAUUAGUUUUACAAAUUUGGUUGCUUGAGAGGUACUUUUUUAUUUGCUUUAAGGUUACAAAAUUGUGUGUGGUUUGCUAUCUAUCAUAUGAAAGAAAGGAAUUUUUGUUAGUAUCAUAUAACCAAAAGCUCCUUUCAUUAAUGACAUCUUUUAGCCAUUCCAGAAUUUGAAAAGUCCAUUUUUUUUAAAAAUGGCACUUUUUUAGAACAACUAAAAAACAUAUCAAGAUCACCCAAUAGAAUAUUUGGUAUGGCAUUUUUCAAAUAUUUAUUUGAAAUAUAUGGUGCAAAAAAGUGUUACGAUAACAGUGGGGGUAGAGGUAGUAUACCCCUGAUAAUGAUAUCUAUGCCUGUGCCUUCUGCAACAAAUAUACAUCUAGACAACUUAUUUUAUUUACUGAUGAGAAUAAGGGAUGAAUUUUGUAACCUAUGUAUUUUCAUAUCAGCCAUGUUAGCUGUAGUAGAAUUAAAUCACCUUGAAAAGGAAGUCCAUGUCAGUUUCAUUGUAAAUUACAUCUCUCAUUAAGGUUCAGAAUAUUAUCAUCAUAUCAUAUAUAUGUUUAGGACAUACUUCAGGUUCAAGCUUGUAUUGCUUUACAUUUUAUCUUCAUCAUUACAUUAUACAUGUAGUAUUUAUGCACAUAUCUCAGCAUUGUCUGAUACAUGUAUGUUUCUAUUAACAAGCAAUUAUAUCAGCUAGGCAGUUAGUAUAUUCCAGUUCAGAUAAAUAAAAAAAAUGAUGCUGUUUUUUGUAUCUUUUUACUUGACUCGUGAAUACAUUGUACAUUGAUAUCAGAAAUUUAUUUUGAUGGAAAUUUUUUAUAUAAAGGACCAAUCUCUUUGGACCACCCAAAAAUGUUUUAAAAAGCCUAGUCAUUGUUAGCUACGCAUCAAAAUAAAACAUUUUUAUUCUAGUCCAAGAUAAAUUGUGAAAAUUAUUAAUCAGAAUUAUUUAAUUUGUUGUAAAUAUCUAGUAGAUACUAGCACAGUGCUUUGUUUAUUUUUGGAUGCAUGCAAAAAUUUUAUUUUUAUUUUUUAAGUUUUCUUGAAAUAGAAUAAUUUGAGUUGUCUUUUUACCCUCUCCAGCAUAUCAUACAAUCUACCUGUAUCAUUGAAAUCAACAAGUAAUGGGCAUUUUCAAGUUCCGAUUUAAUGAAAAUUCUUUGUGAUAAUAUCCAGAUUUUUUGGUUGUGAUUAUUGUUUGAAAACUCACUUACAGAUAUACUAGAAGCAUACAUAUAGCUCAUGUGAUCAAGAUGUUGAAAACAUAAAAUUGUGGUAUGUUAUCAUACUUUCUUAUCAAAGGGUACAAAAUAUUCCAUAUUUUUCACUGAAUAUAAAACUUUUAUGUGCUGUUUACAUAAAUUCAUUUAACAUGAACCAGUCUGAAGUGAUAGAUAUCCACAUUCCUGUUUCAGAAUUGUUUAUUUUAUAAGGAGAUGAUUGAAAUGUCUAAAUCACAAUUUACUUAAGCCACUUUAGUUUUCGAGAGACAAAUGAUAUUUAUGCUUAAGGAAUAUGAGGUCAUUGGUUCAGUAGGUUGAAGUUCUUUUCCUGAUGUAGGGUUAAAGAACAGUUCUGUGAUGUUGCUAUUUAUUAAGACUUAUCUACAGGUUGUGAAUUAUUUUAAGCCAUUCCAAUAAUUUUAAAGACACUUGAGAUUGACAUUAUAAGAAUAUUGAAUUAUUAGACAAUAUACUUAUUUUCUGAAAUUUAAAUCUAGAAAUAAACACAUGAGCUGCACUUAAAGUUGAACAUUUCAACCCCCAAAAAAGUAUGAAUGGUGUUCAGGUUUUGAUAUCUGUUGCAAUGAUUCCGUCUUACUAAUGUUUACCCAAAUUAAAUUAUACUUUAGAAUAAAUAAAAAUUGAAUCAGGGUUAAAAUAUGAGACUGUAAUCUGUUAUCUUACUGUGUCAGUCUCAAGUAAAUUGUCUGUUUUAUUUAAAAGCAUGGGUAAAUAUAUAUUGUUUUAACUUAUUCAAUCCUCCAAAUCAAUGUAGACUUUUUAUAUUAUUAUUAUUAAUAUCAUGUGCCUUGUUGGUUGUCUUUACAUUUUUCUAUACAAUGAUGUUUAUUUUUAACAUUUUUAACUCUUUAAAUUACAACAUUUUAUAUCAUAUGAUAGAGAAUAAUAUUACCAAUAAAAACAACUGUAUUACAACAUGUAAGCUGUUACUGAAGAAAAGUAAUUACUCCAUUUUGCAGGCAUCUUUUUAUAUUUUAUAUUCAGAAGUUAUUAAUUUGAAUCUCAGAUAACCAAACUAAGUGUGACAUAAAUUUUAACUACUUGAAUAAUGUUUUUCACUUUUAUCUGAUUAAAUAAUUAUUAUUCAAAAGUAUUUUUACUUUAUUUAUUUUAAUCAAUUUUGAGUUUAUAUUUAUUGGUUGUCUUACAGAUAGAUAAAAAACAAUGUGAAUAAAAUUUGUAUAAUUUCAAUAUCUACAGACCAUAAUAAAAAAAAAUCAUGAUACUUUUCGCUGACCUAUAAUUAGAAUUUGAAACUAAAUGCCUUUCAAUUGGGUAAUCUUUAUCUAUGCUUAAAACAUUGUAACUUUGAAAUAUUGAUGAUGACCACUGUGAUUUUGAUUAUAAUGAAUUUUGUACAUGAGAAAAGAUUGGAGGUUUCAUUUUGGAUUUCACAUAUCAGAGUCAGACUCAUAUCAAGUUUGAAGCAUAUCUUGUUUAUUUUCCUUUUGAGAUAUUUGUAUUCAUGAACCUUCACUAAUAAAUGAAUAUUCAUGUUAUAUUUUGGAUUCGAUAGACACCAUCUUUUAUGUUAAUUUGAUAGAUUGUGUAAUGCUGUAGUUUACAGAAUUAUCUUCAUAUUUGAAUGAUAUAAAUGGCAUGGUAGUGUCAUUAAAUAUAUCAUAAAUUUAUUAGCCUCACUAUAUAGAAUAGAAUAAGCAUGUCUUAAAAGGGAACAAUUUGUAUGAAGGAACUGCUCACAAGUAUGCUAUCUUGAAUUUAGAUAUGUUAAAAGGAAAUAAAAGGAUUGUUCGGCAUCAAACUUUCUGUUUAUCUUAAUUGUUUUAAAUUAUGAGCAUUCUGAAAUGUUUACUAUAACACUUUAUUCUACAUAAAAUAUUUAUAUUUAUUUUACAUUACACUGUAAGCCUUCAUCUGAUCUAUACAAAACAUUCUAUUAUAAUUCCUAUAGAUAAUUUUAUGUGAUACCUUGCCAUUAUUUUUCUGUCUGUAUAAAGCUUGUUAUGUUUGUGCUGUAAAGAGCUUGUUUUCAUGUCAUUCAAAUAAAUCAUGAAUUAUCAAUCUUUGUUUAUUGUAUAGGUUUAAUAUGUCGAGUAUAAAAACAAAAUGACAAAGGUCAGUAUGAUGGUAAAAAAAUAUAAUAGCUUAUUGAUGAAUAUUCUUGUACUAACCAA